CUUGCUUCCUUUCUGGUGCUUGAUGUUGAAUUAGAAUCCUUGAAGUUGCAAUGACCACCGGGUCAACCGUCCCGAAAUAUCCUUCUUGGGAAUGAGCCACAUCAAACUCGCGUGAUCUGUGAUGCAGAGAAAAAUGCAAUCGGCUACUUCGUCAUUUCGCUGGAAAAGUACCGCCCGACUCCAAUGUCUGACGGAUUGCACUGAAUGAACAAAUUUCUCUUGAAGUCCGCAUGCACAAGGACUGUUGCUGUCGCUAACACCAAUUUCAAGAGCUUUACGGCUGGGCAUCAGUUUUGUUCAGAGAUUCAGUAAACGGAGCAGCCAUCUUUGCGAAGAUCUUUAUGAACCGGCGGUACCAUCCAGCAGUCCCGAGGAAUGCUCCAGCCUCCGUCAUGGUCCUUGGGUCUGGCAUCCUCCUAAUCCCAUCCGAAGACGCCCUUCACCAACGAUAAAACCAAGGCAUUCUGCGAUCCGGCGAAGGUACUUUAGAUGCGUCUGUAUAUCUCGAUCCAGUUUCAGCAGAUUAUCCAGGUCGACGAAGACGUUGGAGCGGAUGUCGGCUGGGAUUACUCGAUCCAUUAGUCUCACGCUGCGCCGUCAAUACCUCGCUUUUCGGAUCCAACUCGAUCUGCCAAAAUGCAAACUUCAAAUUCACGCUGGUAGUGAAGUAUUUUUGGUCGAUUCUGGGCAGAAUGCCAUCGAUACUAGGCAGAUACUAGGUAGCUACGGGCUUUUUCUUUCCUUGACGACUGCGAGAGCUAACAUCUUGUCAACCUCAUCCUCGACCACCUUCUGCUUCGCGGGUGAAUACGGUCGAUUCUUGAAGACCUUGGCUCCCUCUAUCAACUAGAUUGAGUGUGUUUCCAGGCUGGUCG